AUAUGUGUAAUGCGUAUCAUCUUUUUACAUAAUUUGGAGAGAUCAAAGUGAAGAGUUGACAAGGGCUUAACAAGAUGGAGAAGGAGAACACCUUGAAUGAUACCUUGAUUGAAAAAGAAAGCAUGUGGAUACGUACAUGUGGAUUUUUGCGCAUGGUGACGUCAGGAUUAGUCUACCCAAUAGUCAUACAUUCUGUAUUCGUGACCGCAUUCGCUUUGCUAUUUUUGCAAGUAUUGCGUACAUAUGGUUUUGAUCACGACGAGCUUAUGAACGUUCUUUACGGUUUCUUCUCUUACUUGUUGUGUGGCUUAUUUGAAUUAUUUAUAAGACGCUAUUGGCCGCUGCCGGACGAUUGCAUACCUGCCGUUCAUAUCUUGGAAUAUUGUAUGUUUGUACAUCCACGUUAGCAUUAAAUUAUCUGGAUUUUGUUUUCUUAUUUGUCGAAAUAUUAUUUGGAUGUUGGUUUUUCUUUGUUUGGUGUCUCUUCGCAUUUGAACUACCAGUUCAAAAAUCAGUGUCUUUGUAAUUUCUGAUUAAAUUAUGCAUCAUUAAUGUCUAAUUCAAAAGAUCUACUAUAUAUAGAUUUGAGAUUUAUUC